rnacentral:rRNA from 1 species
GGGUUGUGAGGUUAAGCGACUAAGCGUACACGGUGGAUGCCCUGGCAGUCAGAGGCGAUGAAGGACGUGCUAAUCUGCGAAAAGCGUCGGUAAGGUGAUAUGAACCGUUAUAACCGGCGAUGUCCGAAUGGGGAAACCCAGUGCAAUUCGUUGCACUAUCGUUAACUGAAUACAUAGGUUAACGAGGCGAACCGGGGGAACUGAAACAUCUAAGUACCCCGAGGAAAAGAAAUCAACCGAGAUUCCCCCAGUAGCGGCGAGCGAACGGGGAGCAGCCCAGAGUCUGAAUCAGCUUGUGUGUUAGUGGAACGGUCUGGAAAGUCCGACGGUACAGGGUGAUAGUCCCGUACACCAAAAUGCACAGGCUGUGAACUCGAAGAGUAGGGCGGGACACGUGGUAUCCUGUCUGAAUAUGGGGGGACCAUCCUCCAAGGCUAAAUACUCCUGACUGACCGAUAGUGAACCAGUACCGUGAGGGAAAGGCGAAAAGAACCCCGGCGAGGGGAGUGAAAAAGAACCUGAAACCGUGUACGUACAAGCAGUGGGAGCACCUUCGGGUGUGACUGCGUACCUUUUGUAUAAUGGGUCAGCGACUUAUAUUCUGUAGCAAGGUUAACCGUAUAGGGGAGCCGCAGGGAAACCGAGUCUUAACUGGGCGUUAAGUUGCAGGGUAUAGACCCGAAACCCGGUGAUCUAGCCAUGGGCAGGUUGAAGGUUGGGUAACACUAACUGGAGGACCGAACCGACUAAUGUUGAAAAAUUAGCGGAUGACUUGUGGCUGGGGGUGAAAGGCCAAUCAAACCGGGAGAUAGCUGGUUCUCCCCGAAAGCUAUUUAGGUAGCGCCUCGUGAACUCAUCUUCGGGGGUAGAGCACUGUUUCGGCUAGGGGGUCAUCCCGACUUACCAACCCGAUGCAAACUACGAAUACCGAAGAAUGUUAUCACGGGAGACACACGGCGGGUGCUAACGUCCGUCGUGAAGAGGGAAACAACCCAGACCGCCAGCUAAGGUCCCAAAGUCAUGGUUAAGUGGGAAACGAUGUGGGAAGGCACAGACAGCCAGGAUGUUGGCUUAGAAGCAGCCAUCAUUUAAAGAAAGCGUAAUAGCUCACUGGUCGAGUCGGCCUGCGCGGAAGAUGUAACGGGGCUAAACCAUGCACCGAAGCUGCGGCAGCGACACGAUGUGUUGUUGGGUAGGGGAGCGUUCUGUAAGCCUGCGAAGGUGACCUGUGAGGGUUGCUGGAGGUAUCAGAAGUGCGAAUGCUGACAUAAGUAACGAUAAAGCGGGUGAAAAGCCCGCUCGCCGGAAGACCAAGGGUUCCUGUCCAACGUUAAUCGGGGCAGGGUGAGUCGACCCCUAAGGCGAGGCCGAAAGGCGUAGUCGAUGGGAAACAGGUUAAUAUUCCUGUACUUGGUGUUACUGCGAAGGGGGGACGGAGAAGGCUAUGUUAGCCGGGCGACGGUUGUCCCGGUUUAAGCAUGUAGGCUGAUUAUCCAGGCAAAUCCGGAUAAUCAAGGCUGAGGUGUGAUGACGAGGCACUACGGUGCUGAAGUAACAAAUGCCCUGCUUCCAGGAAAAGCCUCUAAGCAUCAGGUAACAUCAAAUCGUACCCCAAACCGACACAGGUGGUCAGGUAGAGAAUACCAAGGCGCUUGAGAGAACUCGGGUGAAGGAACUAGGCAAAAUGGUGCCGUAACUUCGGGAGAAGGCACGCUGGUGUGUAGGUGAAGUCCCUGCGGAUGGAGCUGAGACCAGUCGAAGAUACCAGCUGGCUGCAACUGUUUAUUAAAAACACAGCACUGUGCAAACACGAAAGUGGACGUAUACGGUGUGACGCCUGCCCGGUGCCGGAAGGUUAAUUGAUGGGGUUAUCCGUAAGGAGAAGCUCUUGAUCGAAGCCCCGGUAAACGGCGGCCGUAACUAUAACGGUCCUAAGGUAGCGAAAUUCCUUGUCGGGUAAGUUCCGACCUGCACGAAUGGCGUAAUGAUGGCCAGGCUGUCUCCACCCGAGACUCAGUGAAAUUGAACUCGCUGUGAAGAUGCAGUGUACCCGCGGCAAGACGGAAAGACCCCGUGAACCUUUACUAUAGCUUGACACUGAACAUUGAGCCUUGAUGUGUAGGAUAGGUGGGAGGCUUUGAAGCGUGGACGCCAGUCUGCGUGGAGCCAACCUUGAAAUACCACCCUUUAAUGUUUGAUGUUCUAACGUUGGCCCCUUAUCGGGGUUGCGGACAGUGUCUGGUGGGUAGUUUGACUGGGGCGGUCUCCUCCCAAAGCGUAACGGAGGAGCACGAAGGUUAGCUAAUCCUGGUCGGACAUCAGGAGGUUAGUGCAAUGGCAUAAGCUAGCUUGACUGCGAGCGUGACGGCGCGAGCAGGUGCGAAAGCAGGUCAUAGUGAUCCGGUGGUUCUGAAUGGAAGGGCCAUCGCUCAACGGAUAAAAGGUACUCCGGGGAUAACAGGCUGAUACCGCCCAAGAGUUCAUAUCGACGGCGGUGUUUGGCACCUCGAUGUCGGCUCAUCACAUCCUGGGGCUGAAGUAGGUCCCAAGGGUAUGGCUGUUCGCCAUUUAAAGUGGUACGCGAGCUGGGUUUAGAACGUCGUGAGACAGUUCGGUCCCUAUCUGCCGUGGGCGCUGGAGAAUUGAGGGGGGCUGCUCCUAGUACGAGAGGACCGGAGUGGACGCAUCACUGGUGUUCGGGUUGUCAUGCCAAUGGCACUGCCCGGUAGCUAAAUGCGGAAGAGAUAAGUGCUGAAAGCAUCUAAGCACGAAACUUGCCCCGAGAUGAGUUCUCCCUGAGACUUUAAGUCUCCUGAAGGAACGUUAAAGACGAUGACGUUGAUAGGCCGGGUGUGUAAGCGCAGCGAUGCGUUGAGCUAACCGGUACUAAUGAACCGUGAGGCUUAACCUUACAACGCCGAAG